rnacentral:tRNA from 1 species
GGGCCUGUAGCUCAGUGGAUAGAGCAUCUGCCUCCUAAGCAGAGGGUCGCAGGUUCGAUUCCUGCUAGGCCCACC